CUUAAUACUUUUAGCUGAUUGUCAGUUUGAUUAUCAAUUCUCUGCAGCAGGAUCUGUGAACCUACCUCAUCUCGGCACUGACAAACUGCCUGUAUCGGUACAGUAUAGUGAAAUACAAGGACAAAGAGACCCAGCAGAGAGACCCCAAGACCCACCGCCAGAAUCCUUCUUGCCGUUCCUUCUUGCUAACCUGGACAACCCUCCCUGCAGAGUGCGCCGUGCAAAUUUUUCCAAAUGUAACCGGAAGAAUACUUUUACUGUCCAUCCCAGCUAUCAUUUUUGGGCACCUUGGAUUGGGCAAGGCACACGAAGGUCCAACACUGUGCUAAACACAGAGUUUUUAAAAGCUCAAGGUCCAAGAAACUCAGCAGAGGCAGAUGACCAAUAUUACUGAAGACAGACUCUCAAAUGAAUUGAUGAAUUUGAAGGUGGAUGCAGUACGUACACUCUGUAAUGAAUGUGGUGUCGACUCUUGUGGUUCUAAGAUAGAUCUAAUUCUGCGCCUCAGAACCGAAAUGCAAAAUAGACAGGCCUACGACAGUGUUUCAGAAGAUCUGGGGAGCAUCAGGUGGUUUGGCUGCCAUCAUGUGUCCAUGCGGUGUUUUGUACAGCUUGAAGUUUAACAUCAGAGCAGAAGGCCCUAGAGACUUUGCAGAUAUGCUUCUGUCAUGGAAACAUAUGCCCAAUAUAUCAGUCUAUGACUUUGCACGAGGUCUUGUAAACCACACCAAUGUGAGAGUGCCAGAAAAUCCACCAUUCCAGCCAAAUGAAGGCCGUCUUGCUCCUCCAACCCCUGAGAACAUACAGGCUGCCAAGGACCGAACACUGAAGAUCCACCUUCCGUGGCUUUUGGAGCCAAACACUGAAAACUUUGAAGAUGAUAGUCAUCCGGUUACCAAAUCCUCUCAACAUUAUGUCUUGUGUGACAAGCUACAUGAAGGUAACAGCAAGGAUGAGAAGGACAUGCUCAGGAGAAUUGAACUUGUACCGGAGCUUGCAGGUCAGCUCAACAGCCAAGUGGCUGAACAGUUCUUCGCAAAUAUGCGGAAGAACAAUUAUUUCAUU